GCUUCCUCCCAGCUCUCCCCACCUUUCUCCAUAUUGUGCAUGGGUUUUGAGCCUGAGAGAAGGGUCCAAUCAAAUGCUUCUCUAUGAGAAGCAUUUUAUUGGUCCUCAGACUGGCACAGCAUAACAUGAAAUGGACGCAUGUAAAGGAACAAGGAGAGCCUCACCCAGAGCAGGGAUAAAGGUAAGUUUAAACUUACUUAAAGGGUUUGCUUAAACAGAAAAAGUUAAUAGGGUAUUA